UUAUUUUUAUGCUUUUUAAAUUUUUGUUAUUUAUUUUUAUUGCAAGUAGAUGCUAGGAUCUAGUUAGUAAAUUUUAGUACCCGAUUUAUUUUUCACAUUUUAAAUUUUUAUUUUCUAACUUAAAUUGCUUUCUCUAAAAUUUUAUUUUUUUUAUAAAAUCAAAGAUUUCAAAUCAAAAUCCUACUUUCUCUAUGGAUUCGAUCUGACUCACUACUUUCUAUAUAUUUUUAAUUUUUAUUGAAGUUGGAAUUUGAUUGAUAAUCA
rnacentral:lncRNA from 1 species